CCCGCGCCAGCACCACCCGGGCACCGCCGGGCGAGGCAGGAGUGGGGGCACCAGUCGAGCAGCACCCCAGCGCCAGGGGUCCCGGGAGCCUCGGCGGGAAGGAGGGCAGCCCCGUUACAGGGGCCCGGCUGAGGCUCCCGUGGCUCCCGGGCUACCGAAAUGGAUUUGAGUACCGGAGGAGGGAAAGGUGACCCCGGCCGCAGGGGCCGCGCUCCGCCAGAGCCUAUUAAUUUGGAACUAAUAGCGCUUAAUAGGAAUUCCGGGAGAAGCGGCUCUGGUUUGCAAAUGAAGGAGAACACGGCCAAAAAUUACCUCCCAGCUAAUUUUCUCGGGUCCCGAGCGCGCUGAAUGGCGAGGCAGCGUGAUACAGCAGCGAAACCCCACGGAGCAUCGCUGCCCUCCUACCCAGCACCGGCCGGGGAUGGCGAAAGGCAGUGGGGAAGCUCGGGGCACCGGGGCUGUGCCCUGUCCCUGCCCCGGGGCCGGGCUGCUGUUCGCGGGUGGCCGCGGUGACGCUGGGCCGGGUGGUGCCCAGCACCCCUGGCAACGGGCUGCAGCUUGUCCUAAACAGCCAGCAAGCCAUGGGCAUGCACGGACGCCUCACCUUCCUCCUCCUCAGCCUCUGUGCCCCAGGGACUUUCGUCAGAGCAGCAGCCUUGCUUGACCUGCCUUGCAUGGUGACCCUGAGUGAGGAUGCAGUGCCGGGCACUAGUGUGGCUGAGGUGACCGUGUCCUGUAGCAACACAAGUGACAGCCCCAACGUAACCCUGCAUGGCACUGAGCCCAGCCACCCCUUCAGCCUCAUUACCAGCAGCACUGACCCCAUGGCAAACACCACAUUUCAGGUAGAGGUGACGCUGCGUGCUGGUGCGAAGCUCAAUGCCCACUGGAUGAACAUGUACACCCUGACCCUGCGGGCCACUUGUCCUGGUGAGGACGAGGUGGAAAAGCAGCUCUUUGUGUGGGUGAAAGGGGGGCAGGUGCUGCAUUGUAAUGCCCCAUUCACCAGCACAGCGGGAGAUGUGGUGCGGGUGCUGGCAGAUGUGGCGCCUCGGACACCCCUGUAUGCUGUGAUGCCACAGCCACUCGGCGGGCUGACGUUCAGACUCCGAAACCACAACACACCACUCGUGCUCACCGACCAGGGCCUGGUGCUGGCACCUGCCGGUGGCUUUGACCCCAGCAAGGGCACCCAGACAUUCAGGCUGGAGAUCGAGGUGAUGGACAGCAAAGGGCACAACUGCAGUGGAGCUGUGAGGGUGGAGGUUCUGCCAUCGUGCCGUCCUUGUGUCUCUUUCCUUGAGCCGCAGCAGGCUGUGACGGUGCCAGGUGUCAUUGGGCCCUUGGAGGUGGUCACACAGGUCCGUGCCAGCGGUGACAAUGUCCGCUAUGCCAUCCUUGCACCCACGGCACCCACGUUCUUCACCAUCGAUGAGAUGACAGGCAAGAUCCACAGCACCCGCCAGCUGGAGGUGGCCCAGGAACAACUCCUGGUUCAGGCUUACAAUGCACUGCACCCUGAUGACCAUGCUACCACCAUACUCAACAUUACCGUGCAGGGCACGGACCAGCAGGAGCUGAGCUGUGUCCCAGCCAUCUUCGUGUCCCAGGUGCCUGAGACAGAGCUCCCUGGCAGCACCCUGGUGACACUGAGGUGCACUGGCUGUGAAGGUGCUGAGGGGUGCCUGCGUUAUGCCCUCGAGGGGCCCCCUGUUUCCCGAUCCCACUUCCGCAUGGAGGGGCCACAGCUGCAGGUCAGCACCACCCUGGACUAUGACUCGAAGGCUGUGGCCACUGUGGGCUUUCAGUUCACAGCCACCAUCGUGGUGACAGCAGGAGGACAGCCCCCACGGAGCACCCGUGUGCCCAUGCUCGUGACCUUGACACCCGUCAAUGAAUUCACACCGGUGUGCCCCAAUGGUACCACCUUCACCGUGCCAGAGACAGCAGCUUUCGGCAGUGCUGUGGGACUCAUCGCUGGCACUGACCGUGACUACCCACCAGACAGCCUUGAGUACAGCCUGGAGGGGGGCCCUGGUCCUGAGCAGCCGUUCUCCAUCGAUGUACACACUGGUGAGAUCCGUGUGGUGGGACCCCUCGACUCCCGGCAGCGCAAGAGCUACCGGCUGACGGUGCGGCUGACAGACACCCGCAAUGACCUGGACCCGGCAAAGCAGCGGAGCUGCCUGUGCGCUGUGACUGUACAUGUGCAGGCUGUGCUGGACCAGGCGCCGGUGUGCAUCCCCGAGGUGCAGGAGCUGUGGGUCAUAGCCAGGUCAGGUAGCCGCCAGCCUGUCACCCGCCUAGCAUGCCAGGGAAGCCGUGGUGGUACCACGCUGACAUACAACAUUGCUGGAGGCAACGAGGAUGGGCGCUUUCAGCUGGAGGGGAACACCGUCCUGUACCUCCCCAAUAACCUACCUGAGCCCCGCACCUUUGUGCUGCUGGUGGAGGUGUGGGGUGGCGGCUCCGGCACCUCCCGCCACAGCACUGUGGUGGCACUGGUGGUGCACAUCACCCCCCGGAGCACACCGGUGCCACCCAGCACCACGACUCAGCGCACGACACCGCUGAAGGAACUUCUGGUUGUGACACGGGUGGAGGCAGUGUGGCACCCACCAGCCUGGUUCGUGGCUGUUCUGACUGUCUCUGGUGCCCUGCUGCUGGCUGCCCUGGGCUGCAUGGCCCGGAGCCUGCUGUGCAGCAAUCGAGUCCCUGGCAAGCUGCGGCUGGGCAAGAGCCCCUGGGAUGUGGUGGAGCAGAAGGGGGAUGAGGGGGAGCAGGGCAGCUCCCAUGCCAGCAGCAUGGAGCAGUUUGAUGGCCGUGCCCAGGACCCUCCUCUCCCUUGUUCCAGCGCUCCCAGGAGCAGCUGGUCGGAGGUGGAGCCGCUGGCUUUCUUAACUGGGAGGAAAAGUGAAUUAGUGCACAGGCAGGUAGGCGUGACACGCUGAAGCAGUUAGCAGGGCCCGGCGAACCGCGCUUUGAACGCUCUGGGGUCGGGCAGCGCGGGAAGAAGCUGCGUACAGGAAGGAACUCGGCAAACCACGGUGCUAACAUGAAGCCAACAUGGCUGACUUACUUCUGGCAUCCUACUCCUUCUUGAUUGUGAGAGGUUGGCUCCAUAUUC